GGCCUUCACUUGUUGACAUGUCAAACAUCUUCCUACAAAUUCGGUCACUUCUUGCUUAAGCCCAGGCCACCAAUAUUGCUCUCGCAAGUCGCGAUACAACUUACUCCCUCCUGGUGCAUAGCAUAAGGUCCAUGAUGUGCCUCUUUCAAAAUCAUCAAUCUCAAAUCGGAGUUCUUCGGCAUACAAAUUCUCCCUCAAAAACAAAGAACUCCCUCACUAUUUAACCCAAAGUCUGGAUUCUCCCCCUUCUCAACUUACUGAAACUGAGAAACCGACGACUCGUCCUCUAACUGUUGCUUCUUAAUCUGUUCUACAUAAGUCGAUCUCACUUGUAACUCUGCCAACAAGCUUCUGUCGUCAUACAAACUUAGACUAGCAAACAUCGCCUUUAAUCCCGCCACAGCCCUUCGACUUAGC
rnacentral:lncRNA from 1 species